rnacentral:lncRNA from 1 species
AUGACAUAUGGGACUAGAAAAUGUAACCCAACUCUGUUUGCCUCCCUCAGCUGCAAUCCUACCACACCGGGUGAAGGUAUCCCAGAGCUUCUGCGUCAAUGGCUAGGCCGUCGACAGAGAGUCGGCGGGACUCUCUCCCCCUGGCCAACCCCAGCUAUGCAUUGCGUCGGCGUUUCUCAGGGACGGUGUUGCUGCCCCCGCUGUCCCGGCGCCACUCCACCUACGCCCAGGACAACCGCAGGCUUCUACACCUGGAAGCUCUCUAUAGGAAGGCCCUGGCUGGCGUAGAAGCCACGAGCCUGGAAACCAUCGACGACUGCAAGUCAGUGGAGCAGCUUGUUAAUCUUUCAACUAUCUCUCUCUAAUUCUCUCUCACACACUUUGUUUUUUGUCUCAUUUUACUGUCAACUCUCAAGUGAGCUGCCUCUCUUUAUUUCUCACUCUGUCCCUCGAGUGCUCACAAUCUCUUGUUUCUCUCCCUCUUUUUCUCUCCUCCAUGUGCUCAACAAGCCAUGAGAGGUCCACAGUGUGAUUCAUUGAGAAGGCUACUGUGUGAUAUUGAUGUCUUAUGCUGGGGUUUGAAUUUACUCCACACUUCAGGAAAAUAUGAUGUAAUCUCAGAAGGACAGACUGUCAACUGACUUUUUGUCAAAUUUCACCUGUGACAUUUGGUUUUCGAAUCCAUCUAUUCUUGCAGCCAAGCCUGAGGGAGCAGAGUCUGAAUAACUUUUGUGGAUGUGUGUGGGCGUGGCCGGUGUCUGUUUGUCCCCAGAUGUCUGUGUGUUUAUGCACUCACUCACACAGCGUCUUCCCAUCACGCCUGCCUGCCCCUACUUCUCUAAGUACGUGCUCAUCGACCUUCAUGUUCUUGGCUGCGCUUUAAUCUCUCUGAAUCCCGCAUCUCUCUAGGCCCAGAGGGGGUUAAGAAAAGCCUUCUGUCUGACGACUGCUCCUCUCAGUCCUCUGUGUUCUCUUUUUAGUUGUCUCAUCUCUAUACCUUUCUUUUAUAUCGCUCUCUUUCGGCACAUUUUGCUGUUGGCCUUCCAUGGAAAAUAACCCAAAUUUGGUGUCAAAUGAAAGCUAUUAGUCUAUAUUUUUUAGAUAUUAAGGCAUAUAACAUUUUCAACCAUUUCCAUCCUAAAAUUAGGAAUAAGCAGAAGCUUUGAUUUCUAGUCAAACAGAUGGAAAAACGGGUCUUAGAAGCAAAAGCAAAAGUCUUAAAAAUAUUAGAAAUGCCUCAAAACACAAUAAUGUUGAAGACCCUCGCCAACUAAUACCAACAUUUAUAUAAAAUGAUUUACCUUCAGUAAGUUUAAGAAAUAUUGCCUCGUCUUAUUAUUCUGUUACAACAAACCCACAUACUGUAUCUUUAAGAUAUUUUCUAAUUUCUCUCCCUUAUGAGGAGGGAGGAUAAUAAAAGAUCACAGAAGUAAAGGUAGAUCUACAGUUAUAGUGUUUUAACUGAUAACAAUUUGGUUUAAGGUUCAUUAAGUGACUUGAAAACGUGUCAUGAC